AUACGUAGGCAGCAAGCGUUGUUCGGAGUUACUGGGCGUAAAGAGUACGUAGGCGGUUUGCUAAGUCUGGUGUGAAAUCUCCUGGCUUAACUGGGAGGGUGCGCUAGAUACUGGCAGGCUUGAGUAUGGGAGAGGAGAGUGGAAUUCCUGGUGUAGCGGUGAAAUGCGUAGAUAUCAGGAGGAACGCCGGUGGUGUAGACGGCUCUCUGGACCAUUACUGACGCUGAGGUACGAAAGCGUGGGUAGC
rnacentral:rRNA from 1 species